rnacentral:lncRNA from 1 species
AGUAAAUGUUUGGAAAAAAAGAAGUAAUAAAGAUGAUAAUAAAGAUGCUCUAGAUGACAAUCUAAAGAGUCAUUCGGUGCCGGUCAUUUUAAGCCGUCUGAUUGGAGAAUCAAGAACGUCGGGUGAAGACAACGGUGAUGAUGAAGGUGACGGUGAUGAUGAUGGUGAUGAAAGUGUCGAUGAUGAAAUUGAUGGUUCAGAUGAUGAUAGAUCAGAUGCUUCUUCUAACUUCCUUUUGUUGUUGAUACCUAUCCCUACACCAUCACCAUCGUUAUCGUUACCAACAUUGUUGGUAACGAUAACUUCAGUGUCUUGGCUUCCCACAUUAACCUCCUUAGUUGUCAUGUAACCCUUCAAACGUUUCACGUCAGAUAAUUUCACUGGCUUCACUAUAAAAUCCUCUGCACCUUCCUCC